rnacentral:tRNA from 1 species
GGACGAUUAGCUCAGUGGUAGAGCGCUUUUUUGACGUAAAAGAGGUCGUAGGCUCAAUCCCUACAUCGUCCA